rnacentral:rRNA from 1 species
GGGCGCAAGCCUGANUCCAGNCAUACCGCGGUGAGUAAAGAAGGCCCUAGGGUUGUAAAGCUCUUUCACACCCGAAGAUAAUGACGGUAACCGUAGGAAGAAGCCCCGGCUAACUUGGNGCCAGCAGCCGCGGUAAUACGAAGGNGGGCUAGCGUUGUUCGGAUUUACUGGGCGUAAAGCGCACGUAGGCGGAUCGUUAAGUGAGGGGUGAAAUCCCAGGGCUCAACCCUGGAACUGCCUCUCAUACUGGCGAUCUUGAGUUCGAGAGAGGUGAGUGGAAUUCCGAGUGUAGAGGUGAAAUUCGUAGAUAUUCGGAGGAACACCAGUGGCGAAGGCGGCUCACUGGCUCGAUACUGACGCUGAGGUGCGAAAGC